rnacentral:rRNA from 1 species
GAUGAACGCUGGCGGCGUGCCUAAUACAUGCAAGUCGAGCGAACAGUUCAGGAGCUUUCUCCUCUGACGUCAUCGGCGGACGGGUGAGUAACACGUGGAUAACCUACCUAUCAGACUGGGAUAACUUCGGGAAACCGUAGCUAAUACCGGAUAAUAUAUUGCACUUCAUUGUUCCCUAGUUAAAGUCGGUUUUUCUUUCACUUAUAGACUGAUCCGCGCCGCAUUCGGUAGUUGGUAAGGUAGCGGCUUAACAAGGCAACGAUGGGUACCCGACCGGAGAGGGAGAUGCGACACACGGGAACUGAGAAACGGUCCAGACUCCUACAGGGGGCAGCAGUAGGGAAUCUUACGCAAUGCGCGAGAGCCUGACGGAGCAACGCCGCGGGAGUGAUGAAGGUCUUAGGCUGGGAAAGCUCUGAUAUUAGGGAAGAACAAAUGUGUAAGUAACUAUGAACGUAUUGACGGUACCGGAUCAGAAAGCCACGGCUAACUACGUG